UACGUAGGGUGCAAGCGUUGUCCGGAAUUAUUGGGCGUAAAGAGCUCGUAGGCGGUUUGUCGCGUCUGCUGUGAAAACGCGAGGCUCAACCUCGCGCCUGCAGUGGGUACGGGCAGACUAGAGUGCGGUAGGGGAGAUUGGAAUUCCUGGUGUAGCGGUGGAAUGCGCAGAUAUCAGGAGGAACACCGAUGGCGAAGGCAGAUCUCUGGGCCGUAACUGACGCUCAUGCACGAAAGCGUGGGGAGCAAACAGG
rnacentral:rRNA from 1 species